rfam:Tyto alba contig82978, whole genome shotgun sequence.
UCAUUGGAGCUUUUUAGCUCCACAGUGUACCAAAAGUAAAUUUGUG